AUGCAAGUUCACCUUGGGAAGGACUCUGUCUCGACACAGACCAAAAUACAAGUUUUGGAGGAGAGAGAUUUUGCAGAUUAUGAAUAUAUGGUUAGAAAAGGAGAGGUGAGGAAGGAGAGUGACUUUGCUACAGGCCAACCUAAGCUCUCUACCAGACGGGUCCUACAUAACAGGACAGGCACCGGUGGGCACGCCUUCCUUUUGCAUGUACUCCAGCAGUCAUCUGGAGAUCAGGCAAAGAGCUCUGAGGCUCUUCCAGCAGGCAGCCCGCAAGGUGGUGAUUCAAUGUCGUGUGAACAACAGACUGGUCUCGUUGAGGCAGCUGACUCAGAGCCUGUCCACAGGAGUAAGCGUUGA
rnacentral:lncRNA from 1 species